CCCCCACUCUCUCCCCUCUCCCCACUCUCUCCCUUCUCUCUCUCCACUCUCUCCCCACUCCCCCCACCCACCUCUCCCACCACCACCAUCACCGUCCGUUUAUAAUUUCGUGAGAAGUUUUUGUUCAUUUCUCGCUGCCGCCCCUCCGCCCGCCCGCCACUCCGUUCUCAUGUGGCGACGACGAAACGGGGGACCGCUCCGUCUCCCGUGGUGUCCGUCGCACGUCGCCAACAGCGCUCCCGCACGCCAACAGCGCGUACACACACGCACGUGUGUACGCAGGUACGUACGUACGUACACACGCACGUACCUGCGUGCGUGUGUACGCAGGUACGUGUGUACGCAGGUACGUACGUACACACGCACGUGCCUGCGUGCGUGUGUACGCAGGUACGUAGGCACGCCAAUAGCACGCACGCGCGUACCUGCGUGCGUGUGUACGCAGGUACGUGCGUACACACGCGCGUACCUGCGUGCGUGUGUACGCAGGUACGUACGUACGUACACAGGCACGUACCUGCGUGCGUGUGUACGCAGGUACGUGCGUACACAGGCGCGUACCUGCGUGCGUGCGUACGCAGGCACGCCAAUAGCACGCAUGCACGUACCUGCGUACGUACGUAGGCACGCCAAUAGCGCGCGUACUUACCUGCGCGCGUACUUACCUGCGCGCGUGUGUACGCACGUCACGCCAAUGGCUGGCUGGUUGGCGAGUUUCUUUUGUGUCGCGAUUUUUCGAACGCGGCGGCGGUGGCGGCGGCUGCGUUGUUAUUGUUUACAACUUUCGUGUUGACGACGGUUAAUUAUCACCGUGGUGAGGAGGAGGAGGAGGAUGAGGGUCAGGGGGAGUUGUGUUUAACAGCGAGUUAUAAUGAUCUCUAUCUCUCUCUCUCUCUGUGCGUUUUUUUUUUAAGUUCGUGAAGGAAAUUUCGAUUUGUUUUCCGCGUGAACGUCGAUCGCGCGGUGCGGCGAGCAUCACCCCCUCCCCUCCCCCGUCCAACCCACCUCUAUUUAUUUUUGUGUACUUUCUACUCGUAAGGAUUUAAACAAACUGAAAUUGAAUCCAUAUUUUGGUAUUUUUCUCUCUCUGUGUGUGUCUCUCUCUCUGUUCUCCCCUCCCUCUCUCUCUCUCCCUCUCUCUCUCGUGUCCACCGCUCGGCCUGGGUUGAGUCUCGCCGCUUAUCGAAAUAAAACGAGGAAUGAAAUCGCG